rnacentral:lncRNA from 1 species
CGAGGCGGGGCGGGGUGAGACGGGGCGAGGUUGGACGAGGUAAGGCGAGGCGAAGCGAGGCGGGGCGACACUAGGCGUGGCGGGGUGAGGCGGGGCGAGGCGGGGCGAGACGAGGCGUGGCAGGCGGGGCGGGGCGGGGCAGGGCGAGGGGAAGCGAGGCGGGGCGAGGCUAGGCGUGGUGGGCCAAGGCGGGGCGAGGCAGGGCGAGGCGAGGCUUGGUAGGCGAGACGGGUCAGGGCGGUGCGAGGGGAAGCGAGGUGGGGAAAGACGGGGUGAGACGAGGCAGGGCAAGGCGAGACAGGGCGAGGUUGGACAAGGCGGGGCGGGGCAAGGCGAGGCGGCGCAAGGCUAGGCGUGGCGGGGUGAGGCCAGGCAAGGCGGGGCGAGGCGAGUUGUGACAGGCGAAGUGUGGUUGGGUGAGGGGAAUCGAGGUGGAACGAGGUGAAGUGAGGAGGGGCAAGGCGAGGCGGGGUGGGGCGUGGCGAGGCGAGGCGAGGCAAGGCGAGGCGUGGCAG